UACGGAGGAUCCAAGCGUUAUCCGGAUUUAUUGGGUUUAAAGGGUGCGUAGGCGGAUUGAUAAGUUAGAGGUGAAAUGUCCGAGCUCAACUCGGGAACUGCCUCUAAUACUGUUGAUCUAGAGAGUAGAUGCGGUAGGCGGAAUGUAUAGUGUAGCGGUGAAAUGCUUAGAGAUCAUACAGAACACUGAUUGCGAAGGCAGCUUACCAAUCUAUAUCUGACGUUGAGGCACGAAAGCGUGGGGAGCAAACAGG
rnacentral:rRNA from 1 species